rnacentral:rRNA from 1 species
UACGAAGGGUGCAAGCGUUACUCGGAAUUACUGGGCGUAAAGCGUGCGUAGGUGGUGAGUUAAGUCUGUCGUGAAAGCCCCGGGCUCACCUGGGAAUGGCGAUGGAUACUGGCUCGCUAGAGUGCGGUAGAGGAGAGUGGAAUUCCCGGUGUAGCAGUGAAAUGCGUAGAGAUCGGGAGGAACAUCAGUUGCGAAGGCGGCUCUCUGGACCAGCACUGACACUGAGGCACGAAAGCGUGGGGAGCAAACAGG